rnacentral:rRNA from 1 species
UACGGAGGGUGCGAGCGUUGUCCGGAAUCAUUGGGCGUAAAGGGCGCGUAGGUGGCUUCUUAAGCGUGCGGUGAAAGCCUGGGGCUCAACCCCGGGUCGGCCGUGCGAACUGGGGGGCUGGAGCACUGUAGAGGCAGGCGGAAUUCCGGGUGUAGCGGUGGAAUGCGUAGAGAUCCGGAAGAACACCGGUGGCGAAGGCGGCCAUCUGGCUCGGUACUGACGCUCAGGCGCGAAAGCGUGGGGAGCAAACAGG